rnacentral:lncRNA from 1 species
UCAUUAAUGAGCUCCAAACCGCCCAUUGAGUGCACUUUAGGGGCGGUUUUGGGCCUUCUUCACACUUGGGAUUGUGCACAAUUUUAGGUGAUCUUUAAAAUACUCAAAAAGUGUCCAAGGUCAUGAUCGUACUCGUAUCAUGGUGCUACCUCAGGCGACCACUCAUCUUCAACUUUGACUUUUUUACCCUGAUGCCUCAUCAACAUGAAAACUAUUGCUGAAGCAAACCCC